rnacentral:rRNA from 1 species
AGCCAUGCCUAGUACGGCGAGUGAAGCGGCAACAGCUCAAAUUUGAAAUCUGGCCUCGGCCCGAGUUGUAAUUUGCAGAGGAAGCUUUAGGCGCGGCACCUUCUGAGUCCCCUGGAACGGGGCGCCAUAGAGGGUGAGAGCCCCGUAUAGUUGGAUGCCUAGCCUGUGUAAAGCUCCUUCGACGAGUCGAGUAGUUUGGGAAUGCUGCUCAAAAUGGGAGGUAAAUUUCUUCUAAAGCUAAAUACCGGCCAGAGACCGAUAGCGCACAAGUAGAGUGAUCGAAAGAUGAAAAGCACUUUGAAAAGAGGGUUAAAUAGCACGUGAAAUUGUUGAAAGGGAAGCGCUUGUGACCAGACUUGCGCCGGGCUGAUCAUCCGGUGUUCUCACCGGUGCACUCUGCCCGGCUCAGGCCAGCAUCGGUUCUCGCGGGGGGAUAAAGGCCCAGGGAACGUAGCUCCUCCGGGAGUGUUAUAGCCCUGGGUGUAAUGCCCUCGCGGGGACCGAGGUUCGCGCAUCUGCAAGGAUGCUGGCGUAAUGGUCACCAGCGACCCGUCUUGAACAAACGGACCAAAAAAGGGGGGCGGUUUUUUCGGGGGGGCUUAAAAAACAAGAAAAAAACUCUUUUUGGGGGGCUUUACCCCCCCGGGCCGGGUUUUGGUUUGGGGGGAAAUUUACCCCCCACUUUAAAAGGGAGAGUUUCCGGCUUUUGUUCGGCUGCAA